GCCCGGGUGGCGAAAUUGGUAGACGCAGCGGAUUCAAAAUCCGCCGGUGAAUAACUAUGCCGGUUCAAGUCCGGCCCCGGGCACCA
rnacentral:tRNA from 1 species